rnacentral:lncRNA from 1 species
CGGUUAGAUAGUAAGUAAAAUUGUAUUUGAUCAUAAUCCCCUUCUUAACUCGAUAAAACUUUUUUUGAAAACAUUUGAUAAGACUCACAAUUAACUAUGUAUCAGUAAACCUCCCCCCAGACUUAAAUUACACUGUUCUCAGUGUAUAUCUAGUCGGAUUUAUGGUGAUAAAUAAAUAAUAAGUACUCAAUUAAACAAGUUAGAACGAUAUACCUGACCAGAAAAGCUCUUGCAGAAACUUUUCCUUUUUCUCUCAGCUCUGGAUCACAUAGCACUAUAACCUUGGUAAAAGGUUCAGAACCUCCUCUGCAGCGCACUCUAUACUCAAGACUUCCCUCUUGACAUACCAAAGGGACUAGUGGCAGGAAAUCUUCAUCUACAUUCCUUUUCUUUUUCUUCUUUCUAUUCUUGGUCAUUCCUCCAGACUUAGACUUUUCAGUCUCGGGCUUUUCUGAAAGUCGGAGGGUGUUGACCGAUGCUGGAAGCUUCAUGUCGAUCGAUUCUGAAGACUGAGAGUCGUCCGAUGCUGAUGUCUUAUUGUCGAUCGA